GACGAACGCUGGCGGCGUGCUUAACACAUGCAAGUCGAACGGAAAGGCCCAGCUUGCUGGGUACUCGAGUGGCGAACGGGUGAGUAACACGUGGGUGAUCUGCCCUGCACUCUGGGAUAAGCCUGGGAAACUGGGUCUAAUACCGGAUAUGACCGACUGUCGCAUGGUGGUUGGUGGAAAGCUUUUGCGGUGUGGGAUGGGCCCGCGGCCUAUCAGCUUGUUGGUGGGGUAAUGGCCUACCAAGGCGACGACGGGUAGCCGACCUGAGAGGGUGAUCGGCCACACUGGGACUGAGACACGGCCCAGACUCCUACGGGAGGCAGCAGUGGGGAAUAUUGCACAAUGGGCGCAAGCCUGAUGCAGAGACGCCGCGUGAGGGAUGACGGCCUUCGGGUUGUAAACCUCUUUCACCAGGGACGAAGCGUGAGUGACGGUACCUGGAGAAGAAGCACCGGCCAACUACGUG
rnacentral:rRNA from 1 species